rnacentral:lncRNA from 1 species
UUGAAACACUGGGAUAAGACAGACCAGUAUUUUUAGUAUCCUUAGGCAUUCUUUGAGAAAUACUUAAGUUCUUUCAGUGGUACUAUUAGUCCUUUGACUGUAAGGAAGGGUUUAUUAGGAGCUUUUCACUGCUAGCAGUGAAUAAACAAGGUUAAGUUUCAGUACUUGUUUUGUAUGUGAAACUUAUAAUUAGGCUUGAUGGUAAAAUCUGAGCUUUUGGUGUGGUUAGAGAAUAGAUCACCAUACAAUUAUUAUCUAUUUAUAUUUCUCAUAGUCUAUAUGCCUGUGUGUUCAUACAGUACAGAGGAUUAAUAAAUAGAGAUUUGAAUCACAUUCUUGUGUAUCUCUCUUUGUGUCUAAAAACUAGCACAGACUGGACAUUUUCAUGAUAAAGUGAAUUGCAGGCCCAUAAUCUACUUCUGCAUUGUACAGUCUUCUAAAUAGAAUAAACCUGACGGACCUAGAGAUGCAUAGUGAUAAAUCAUGCUCUCAGUGU